AUACAGGGGUGGCAAGCGUUGUUCGGAUUUAUUGGGCGUAAAGGGUCCGUAGGCGGUUUGGAAAGUCGGAUGUGAAAUCCUACAGCUAAACUGUGGAACUGCAUUCGAAACUUCCAGACUCGAGUAUGAGAGGGGUAAAGGGAAUUCCCGGUGUAAGGGUGAAAUCUGCAGAGAUCGGGAAGAACACCAGCCGCGAAGGCGCUUUACUGGUUCAUUACUGACGCUGAGGGACGAAAGCUAGGGUAGCCAACGGGAUUAGAAACCCCAGUAGUCC
rnacentral:rRNA from 1 species